rnacentral:lncRNA from 10 species
AUUUGCUUCGUUUAACCACAUAGAAUAACUGUACCCUUGGUGCUGCCAGAAAGCUCAGUCUGCGAUUGAUUGCUGUAGUUCUCUCCCAGAGCACAGUUGAGUUGAUUGCUUUUUUGAGAAAGCCUCUAAGGGAUUUGCUGUCUGUGUGCCUAUUGGGCUGUCUGUGCCCCUGGCUGGAGCAGAAACUGAGGAAGGAAGAUCCUACGGCUCAUCAAGUAAAACGGUCUUUUGGGGAAGAAGCAUUCUUAGAAAUGCUGCACCAAGAGUUGGAAUUGAGAAUUCAGAAAACAUGAUAGAGAAGGAACAGGAAGAAACCAUUUGGACAUCCAAAAAUAAAAGGCCAGAAUCUCACUUUGUUGCCCAGGCUGGUGGUCUCUAACUCCUGGACUUAAGCAAUCCUCCCGCCUCAGCCUCCCAAAGUGCUGGGAUCACAGGUCUGAUUAUAAAAGGAGAAUUGGAGGCUUACCAAACAUCUGAAGAGCUUUCCAGAAGUUUGGUCACUUCUGAAUUAGAGAAGUUAAAACCCAAUCACCUACUAAUGCUGUGGGAAAGUUCUGCAGGUGAUACAUCACAGGGGCUCAUGAAUGUGUCUUAAGCUGGGUCAUUGAAGUGGAAUGUUUUCACAAGACCUCCUCCACUUGCUACUGUGUCCGGAAUUGGUGGGUUCUUGGUCUCACUGACUUCAAGAAUGAAGCCGCGGACCCUCGCGGGAGUGGCAAAUCAAAGGCAUUGCAGCCUCUUUCAUCACUGCCGAUUGCUGAUGCCAACCAUGUGCCAAGUGCUUAAUACGUCACCUUAAAUCUUCUCAUCCACCCUCAGAGUAGCUGCAGCAUCAACCCAGUGCCCUGACUUUCAAGACGACUAUGAAAACACCCCAACUGCUGCUAAAUUACCAGCAACAAGGAUCUGGAAUUUUCCUGACAAGAGCAGUGCCUAUCCUGAGGCAAUCGUAUUUCUCCUUGACUUCUCUCCAGUAUCAGCUUGUUGCUUGACACCCCUGCACAGCCAACUGUGUAAUGUGGGUGAGUCUAGCUGCAUUUUCUUCAGACACAAGCCUGGCUACCCAGUGCUAAGGUGACAUCAGGCCAGGCCACAACAUUCUUAUUCAAAAGAAAGAACACCGAAAUUGACCUUACCCUGACAAUAUGAUGGCUGAAGGAUUUAUGAUCACUUAUAACAUUUGAAAUUGAGGCGGAACCUGAAGAAUAAGACUCUGGUGAAAGGUCCUAUUUAUGCUUUUGAUGUCUUUCACUUGGACAUUUACCACAUGCCUAUUGGUAGGUUUGUUACAUAGGUCAGUUAAGGUGAUACAAGAAUAAAUAAAACACUAUCCCUAUCCUUUAAUAUCAUUUAUUUAUGGGGUCAAUCACAGAUUUUCAUUUUUCAAAAUCUUUGAUAAAUGUCAGAAUUAUGUUUUUUAAUAUUUUUACAGAAUUAUUACAAUAUAUGGUAGAGGAUGGAAGGCAAGGUAGUAUGAAACGGAAAAGAUAUUUUGAAUUAAGGUAUUUGGACCUGGAUUAAUAUUUUUGCUUUGGUCUUUAUUAGCUGAGUGACCUUGAGAAAGUUCUUCUACUAAAAAAGAACAAAGAUAAUAAUUACUUCAUGAAAUUGCUGUAAAAAACACAUAACAAGUAUAUCCAGACUCAACAGUGUAUGCUCAAAAAUGCAGAUCCUUUUUCCCUUACCUGCAAAUAAAGUCUUACAGUAAUACAGUGGGGGUAAAGGUUUAAACUGGUGGAUUCAAGAAGGGCUAUAGAAAGAGGUAGCAUCUUAAUAGGGGAAGGAGAGGAUCCAAGAAAUCAGAUCCAUUUUCUACAAAAAGAAAUGGGAAGACAGAUAAUUCAAGAAGAAAAGUUUACAUGAUUAAAGACCCGAAGUUAGAAAUAGUGAUGUGUCUCAAUAGUAAGUUAGGAAUUGGGGUGGACACAAUUGUUGGAAGAAGGAUGGUUUCAGCAAAGGCCCAAGUUAGGUGACAAUUUCAAGUGUUUGUGAAGAUAUAUGAACAAAAUUAUAAAGUAGUUAGGGUAUAAGAAAUAGGGAGGAGGGAAUGAAUUAACAUUUAUGGAGUGUCUUGCAUGUUCCAAGCACUGUACUACUUGCCUUAUAAACCUUUCUUCAAUAAACGCCUACAACAAUCCUGAGAUGUGGAAUUAUUAGUUCCUCAAUGGACCCAGAGAGUUUCAAUUAUGUGCUUAAGAACACAGAGUUAGUAAAGGACAGAGACAGAAUUCAAAUUAAGCCUAUGUUACUCCACAUCCUAUGCAUUCACUAAACCUCUCAAGAAAACCAAUUUAUUGGACCUUUUAAUCAUUUAAGAAUGAGAUGAUAGGGGGCGGUUCCAAGAUGGCCAAAUAGGAACAGCUCCAGUCUACAGCU